CUAGUGCUAGACGUGAUUACAGCAUCCACAUAUAUGGCAUUAGAUGACGAAUGUCCACUUUGAAGAAUCGUUACAAGAUUUCCACGAAAUCGCGAGUCUCUUCAAGUUGGGUACAACUGCACAAGUAUAACUAAAGUGAGUAAGCAGAGAAAAAUAUGCAUGUAAGGAUUAAACAAGGUGGAUGGUUAUAAAACCAACAAAGUUAAUGUCAAGCAAGAUCAGCGCCCAAAGGAAGCAGGAUGGUCGUCAUGAUCAUGAUAAAUUUAUAAUAGUGUAACGAGAUUGAUACCCCCAUUUAAAUAACGUGUUGUAUUCCAGCAUUUGUCGCUCGUAAACGAAUUGACUAAGUUAGCAACACAUACUCUCAUCUUGACAUUCCCAACUUUAGAAAAUUUGGCACGUUACGUGAUUUCAUUACUCCUUGAAAUGACCCACUCAACAAGUGCUCUUUUCAGCAAUUUCAGCCAUCACACAUCAGAACUUUAAUCCAAAUCGUUUGGCGAUGGCACGGAGCGUAGAAAUUUCGAUGAGUACAAACGUGGAAUCGUCAAAUUCACAAAUUCAUAAUCACCGAACUUUCCAAAUGAUAUUUUACUAAGGCAGUUCGUCAUAUUGAACAAUAAAAGAUGGAAAGUUAAAGAUAUAAAUAUUUCUUUACACUGAGCACGCUGCAAAAUUCUUUCGAAGCAAAUUAUCACCUCGAAUCAAUACACAAGCCAUACAUGGUAUAUUAAUUCUGGACUUUUCUAAGCAGUCAUGCAGAAAAAUUUUGAAUACAUACGCAACACAAAAUGCAAAUUAUGACGAUAAAUAUUGGAUGCAGUAAACACUUUUACAGGUAGCAGUUUACGAACUCAAAUAUUCGUUUGCGAAAUACGCAAUAGAAGCUAAGAACAUACAACAUACAUCUGCAGGAGCAGAACGAACAGGUAUUUUUUCUUGCUGGAAACGAGCUGCACACGAUAGUAAUCAGUUACAAAAAUGAACGCUCUUUGGGUAAUCAUUUGGUUUUUGGUGUUGAUUUUUUUGGCUUGGCCUGUGGGAUUUUUCUGUGCCGGCUGGUAUGUCUGCUGUUCUCCGUUCGAGGCGUGUAUAAGUGGGUGCAAAUCAAUAACCGACAUAUUAAUGAAAGGGCUUACAUUUCCAUUAAAUGUUGCCAAACACAUGAUAGAAGGAAAGACAGGCUGGUGAUUUGUAGCUUUCGUUUGUUCUUGGACUAUUUGUGCUUACCUUAUAUUACCUAGCAACAGGGGGAAAAUGAUAUUGUAUAUGCAUGAAAUAUGAAAUGUAUAUGUAUGAAACGUACGUGUACAUAUAUAUAUGUAUCUUCAAAUAUAAUACUUUUUACACAUGCA